rnacentral:lncRNA from 1 species
CGUGUCCGUCGGCCUCAUCUCCAGCGACUUCACCACUGUGCCGGGCCCGCUGCCCCGCUCCGACCACCAGUCCUGUAGCCCUAGCCCUGGAGGGUCGGAGGGUCUUAUCCUCCGGCCGGCCGCACCUGCUCCAGCCCCUCCUUGUGCUUGCGAGGCAGGCGGUAGAACCACUGAACUAAAUCCCCGGCCCAAGUAACACUAUCUUAACAGAGUGGUGCUGCAAGAAAGAAGUUUGAGGUGUACUUCAUACUUAGAGGUAAGGUGGUUUCUAAAAAUAACUGUUUCACUGGUGUGACCUAGCCCAAUCUGGGUCCUAACCUUUGUUUCUGGGAAGAGGACAUGGUUAUUUGGG